rnacentral:tRNA from 1 species
CGUGCCGGUCGGCCCGGGCCGGGCUGGCGCUGCUCGCGCCGCCCCGGCCUGACCUGCGGUUCAGCUCCGCUCGGGUACGG